GAGAAGAGAAGAAGGAGGAGAAGAAGAAAGAGAAGAAGGAGAAGCAGCAGCAGCAGGAGCAGGAGCUUAAGCUGGUCAUAUCUUUUUCUUCUUUAAUCAGGAUUUGCCAACCACUCCCUAGAAGUGCCAGAUAAUAUAUAUUUUGGGUUCUUCAAGAUGUAAGAUUUUAGCCCCAUGUAUUCACCUCUGUAAUUAAAGCACCAAAUCAUGCAGACAAUAUACAAAUAAAUGAGUGUGACCAUGUGCCCAUAAAGCUUUAUCAUGUUCCAAAAAAAUUUGGUUUCCAAAAUGGAGGGAUGGAUAUAGCCUGCUGGUCAUAGACUGCUGACCUAUGUUUUGAACUUUGAAAAGGUAAAGAAAAAAAUUAAUCCUAAAGCUUUAAGUUUAUAAAAUGCCCACCUACUGAUGAAAAUAUAGGCAAUGUUAAUGUGACCUAUGGUAUCCUGACCCCUUCGGAGAAGGAUCUAUAUUGGUUCACAUAUUAAUAAAAAAGACUUUAUAAAGGAAGCACUAAUACUUUUGCUUUGCAGAUGAAGAAACCAAUACUUGAAAAAUUAAAAUAAUUUGCCAAAAUCAUUUGAUAUUUAAACAAAAUUAUCAAAAUUACCAUUUUGAUAAUUAAUACAUGAAAAAUUCAAAAGCAGGCUUCUCUUGCUCUUAACAAUUGAGGAUAAAAUAACACCAUUAAUGACAAAAUAGUUUAAAGGUCUUGUGAUAUCUUUGGUCUUGUGAUAUCUUUGGCUUCUGCAUUUCACUUCAGUGAAGGAUCAGUUUUGAAAGUUUGAUCAUAAGUAAUCACAUCUUUGGAAUACAACAAUAGAAAUCAUGAAUAAAAUUAAAAGUAUAUGUUAUUAUAGAAAUACCUUCCAGAGUGGAAGAAGGACCAUUCUAUUAUUCAAAAUUCUAUUCAAAGUUCCUAGCAUGAUGCCUGGAAUACAGUAAUUUCUGGAAUUUUUAAUGAUUAUGUGAGAGGACAUAUGGAAGGAUGGUUAGCCUUUUGGAUAAGUGAAUGAAGCUGAG
rnacentral:lncRNA from 1 species